GAUGAACGCUGGCGGCGUGCCUAAUACAUGCAAGUCGAGCGAACAGACGAGGAGCUUGCUCCUCUGACGUUAGCGGCGGACGGGUGAGUAACACGUGGAUAACCUACCUAUAAGACUGGGAUAACUUCGGGAAACCGGAGCUAAUACCGGAUAAUAUAUUGAACCGCAUGGUUCAAUAGUGAAAGACGGUUUUGCUGUCACUUAUAGAUGGAUCCGCGCCGCAUUAGCUAGUUGGUAAGGUAACGGCUUACCACGGCGGCGAUGCGUAGCCGACCCGAGAGGGUGAUCGGCCACACUGGAACUGAGACACGGUCCAGACGCCUACGGGAGGCAGCAGUAGGGAAUCUUCCGCAAUGGGCGAAAGCCUGACGGAGCAACGCCGCGUGAGUGAUGAAGGUCUUCGGAUCGUAAAACUCUGUUAUUAGGGAAGAACAAAUGUGUAAGUAACUAUGCACGUCUUGACGGUACCUAAUCAGAAAGCCACGGCUAACUACGUG
rnacentral:rRNA from 1 species